GGGUAUACAGCUCAACAGUAGAGCGCAUGGUUAGCAUGCACGAGGUCCUGGGUUUAAUCCCCAGUACCUCCA
rnacentral:tRNA from 1 species